AUUCUUAAGCUAUAUGUCUAUCUACUAUCUAUGGAGAGGGAGUUGAUUCAUCUGAAUGGAGUUAAAGAAUAAUGAAAGAGCAAUACCAUUACUUAUGUCACUUAUGUGUCUUCAGUAUUCCUUAUGACAACCUUUCUGAUACUUUCUUCGGACAUUUCUAGUGCAUUAGGAAAUACAGUAUAAUAACCAUUUUGUAUAUUUCAAGUGGAUACAUCACUAAUACAAUGUACCGUGAUGUUAGAAAGGUAAUCAAUAUUCAGAUUAUGCAUGACACCUUUCCCCUUCAGGUUUAUUGUCAUUGGUACUCAAUUGUUUUUGUUCUUUUGACGUCUUGUGGCAGCCUGUCUUUUAAACAGCUGUGUUAUUUGCAUCUUACCCUCCCUUUAUAUAACUGUCCCUUAGAGAAAUACCUUUAAAAACACAUCCUUUCAAUAAUCUUUCUUGUUCUAGCAAAGAGUUAAUAACAAGACAAUAUUAUGUGGAAGGGGUGAUUUGAGCUGAAAAAGGGUAUAGAGACAAAUGAACAGGAUUCCAGGCCCUUCUGUUUCAAAUAUUCUUCAUAAUAGUCUCGACAGUUGUUAUAAAAUGAAUUGCCAGAGUGUAUAGAAGCCAAAAAUAAAUGAUUGCUCUUUUUCUGUAAUGUCAUAUUGUGCAUACCUCUGUCCUUAUCAUUUAUUUGUGCGAUGAUGAGUUUUAUGAUGUAAAAUUGGAAUUAUACUAUACUGGGAGUUCCCAUUGUGGCUCAAUGGGUUAAGAACCCAACUAAGUAUCCGUGAGGAUGCAAAUUCCAUCCCUGGCCUCACUCAGUGGGUUAAGAAUCCGGCAUUGCUGUGAGCUGUAGAAUAGAUCAUAUAUAUGGCUUGGAUCUGCUGUUGCUGUGGCUGUGGUUUAGGCUGGCAGUUGAAGCUCUGAUUCGACCCCCAACCUAGGAACUUACAAUAUGUUGCAGGGGUGGCCAUAACAGCAACACAAACAAACAAAAAAAACUGUGCCGAACUGCAGAUCCUUAAGGAAAGGCACCAUAUUUUAUUAAUCCUUAAAACUUAGCACGGUACCUGGCAUACUGGAGGAUUCAACACUCUUUUGUAGCUAUCCUAGAAAGAUUACUUUGAUCCUUGCUUACCAGACCAUCCAUUCCUUAUUUUCUGUCAACUGGUUCCAAUUUAGCAUUGUUAAAACAGUUAUUACCUAUUGUAGGCUUUCUCUGUACUUUUCUCAGACCCAAACGUUUUUGCAUGUGCUCGUGAUCUUUUAUCCUUUUAGAUACUUAAUGAAAUUUUUUCAUGGCAAAAGUUCCAAUAACAAUUAUAUCUGCUCUGAUUCCGAAAAGAAAUAUAUCAGAUAUCACCCAUCAAUAGUAAAGCAAAUCUACUACAGUCAAUUCAGGAUAUUGUAUUGAAUAAAGUACACAGAAUUACAUUACCUAGUGAUUCAAGAAUGAAAUGCACAUUUCAUAUCCUAUAUGAUUCCUAUCUGAAUAGUAGGACAAACUAUCCAGAAUAUUUUUGCACUUAAUAUAUUGUAAUGAGAUUCUGAGCAUUUUAUAUGAGCUUCCUAAUUCUUAAAGUUCAUAAAAUUUCACACAAUUAGAAAACCGAGCUUUAACUUAUUUUACCUUGUUAUCUAAGUUGUUUAGAAGUCUAGUUCAGUGAAACACUUUAAUAUUAUUGAUGCUAUAUCCUUAGCUUUUCUAGAAAGCAAAAAAGGUAAUUGAGCAGUGAACAAUAUGGAGGGUAAUGUCACGUAAACCACUGUUGAGGAUGCAUGUUUAAUUCCUGUAUAACAGCUGACAUGCUUGCUAGUUAGGCAGUGAGAAACUCACAUGAUUGACCAAAGUCAUAAUUUGUCUUUCUACUACAGAAACUGAAACAAAUUGAUUUUAAAUUGUUUCCAAAACAAAGAUAAUAAUGUCCUGGAAUAAUUAAAACUGGGAUUUCAUUAAAGCAUACUUCAAGUGAUUAAUAGCUGUAGUUAUGUUUUGGAAUGUGCAAAUAACGCAGAGAGCAUAUUGGCAUUUUUAUAUAUUCAAGAAUAUGCUUUCUGAGGAAAGUGUUGGUUCUUGGGAAUAAUUAUAAUGAAGUCCCAGACAACCCCAGACCCACAUACCUCCACCUCUCUCAAUAUUUUUAAAAUUAAGGAUUCUGAAAACAAGGUGACCUAUGUAUGGCCAUCUUUCCAUUCACUUCCAAUUCCUGUCUAUCUUUCUGAAUCAAUACUGCUGAGAUCUGUGAACAAUUGCCAUGACACCCUGGGCAGAGGAAACACUGCUCUGAAACUUUUCUACCUUCAGUUGGGCAAGCAACUAGAGAAUAGUACUGGAGUUCAGGGAUAAAGAUCAGAAAACAGUAGACAUUGUCAAGAAGAACUUGGGCUUCUGAGGUUCCUGAACCAUUAUGGGAGAAGGUUAAUAUUUGCCCAUUUUAUAUAUUCAAGUCUCACCAAAUCGAUAAAAAGUCAAAGUAGCUGAAUGUGCUGGCUGAAUUUUCUCUGUUCAUGAGGCUGAAAAGAAAUAGAGAAAUAGGACAAUGGAGGUCAACCUCCUCAUGCCUUGGUAGGGAAUUGACAGACUGUCUAGUUCUCUCCAAGUGUGAUACUUUCGCCAUUUAGGAUACUCCAACAACCAGACCUGAGCUCCAGGGAGCUAUCAAUGAAAAAUAGCAGUCUAUUUAAGGGGACCCGGUAGUGAGGGAGAGAGAAAGAUCAGGUAGGAAAAUUAGAGUACACACUCUAAAUAACUAGUACAAUUGACAAAAAUAAAUGAAACUUGAAUAUUGAAAAUACAUUAAGAGCAUUUAAGGAAAUUCAAAUACAGAACAAAAAAGGAUUUAGGCUACUAAGACAAAUAUAUCUCAAUUGAGCAACUCAGUGGAAAAAAAUCUGAGGAGAACGUGGUAACUGUUGAAACAUGAGUCAGUGAGCCGAAGGAUCCAAGUCGAAGAAAUGUAUCAAGGUACUUAGGACAAAAAUCAAACAUGAUUACAGUCAAUUAAAAAAGGAUAAAUCUUGGAGAAUAAAUUAAAAAUCAAAACAUAUAAAUAAUAGGAAUUACACAGAAGGAAUAACAGAUGAAGGAGAGAUAUAAUUAAAUAAUAGAAGAAAAUUUCUUUGAGAUUAAGAAAAAUCAGAGUCUGUGGAUUAAAAGAGUUUAUUCAUUUAUGGUCUUGAUUGAAAGAAAAGACAUACUUAGACAUGUCCUGAUAAAAGUUCUGUACUCUAAAAAUAAAUUGAAACAUCUUAAAAGCUCCCAAAUAGAAAGGACAAGUUUCUUCUAUAAAGGGGAAAAGUACCAAAAUAUCAAAGAACUUAAUAUCUGCAACACAGGAAGCUAGAAGAUAUUGGAAUGACAUGUACAGACUGCAAAAGGGGAAUGAUAGUAGUCUAAGAAUCUCAACACCCAGAUAAUUGUCAUUUGCUAGUUAAGGUGAAAGAAAGAAAUUUAGGGAAAUCCAAGAACUCAAAAUAUGUAAUUAUUAUGUCCUGUCCAAAAAAAUGCCUGAGAAUAGAUUAUAAGCAAAUAACAGAUGAAACUGUAUAAAGGUUUCAAGAUGGAAAGGAAAUAGUGGUGAACAGUAAUAUUUAUAUAUAAUUAUGUGUGUGUAUUGUUUCAUUUAAAAGAAAAGACAGAUGGCUAGUAAAUGUGUAACAAAAAUAAUUUCAGGCUUUGAAUAAAAGGAUCAUCUUUAUGUAAAGAAAAUUUUUAAUGUACUAAGUUGUCUCAUCAAAACUUAGUUAAUGGAAGGAGCAGACAAAGGAGGAGAAGAAGGAAAUUGGGUAUUGGGAGAUUAGAGGAAAGGAGGAAAAGAGGGAGAAAAGCGACUGUAUCCUAAAGAUCUCUUUUAUUUAGGAGAAGGGGGUAGAGGAUAGAACCUCUUGGUGGGGGAAAUUUUUUCUCAUGUAUGUACGUCUCACUUGAAUAUAUAUGUAUGUGUAUAUAUACACACAUCUUUUUAUAAGAGUAGAGAAAGGGAAGGUCAGGACCAAUAGAACAUGUAGAACUUUCAUAGUAGCAAGGAGCCACUUAAUC
rnacentral:lncRNA from 1 species